AGAGCGAACGCUGGCGGCAGGCUUAACACAUGCAAGUCGAGCGGGCGUAGCAAUACGUCAGCGGCAGACGGGUGAGUAACGCGUGGGAACGUACCUUUGGUUCGGAACAACCCAGGGAAACUUGGGCUAAUACCGGAUAAGCCCUUACGGGGAAAGAUUUAUCGCCGAAAGAUCGGCCCGCGUCUGAUUAGCUAGUUGGUGAGGUAAUGGCUCACCAAGGCGACGAUCAGUAGCUGGUCUGAGAGGAUGAUCAGCCACAUUGGGACUGAGACACGGCCCAAACUCCUACGGGAGGCAGCAGUGGGGAAUAUUGGACAAUGGGCGCAAGCCUGAUCCAGCCAUGCCGUGUGAGUGAUGAAGGCCCUAGGGUUGUAAAGCUCUUUUGUGCGGGAAGAUAAUGACGGUACGCAAGAAUAAGCCCGGCUAACUUCGCGCCAGCAGCCGC
rnacentral:rRNA from 1 species